rnacentral:rRNA from 1 species
AACCAACAGGGAUUGCCCUAGUAACGGCGAAGUGAAGCGGCAACAGCUCAAAUUUGAAAUCUGGCUCUUUCAGGGUCCGAGUUGUAAUUUGCAGAGGGCGCUUUGGCUUUGGCAGCGGUCCAAGUUCCUUGGAACAGGACGUCACAGAGGGUGAGAAUCCCGUACGUGGUCGCUAGCUAUUGCCGUGUAAAGCCCCUUCGACGAGUCGAGUUGUUUGGGAAUGCAGCUCUAAAUGGGAGGUAAAUUUCUUCUAAAGCUAAAUACUGGCCAGAGACCGAUAGCGCACAAGUAGAGUGAUCGAAAGAUGAAAAGCACUUUGGAAAGAGAGUCAAACAGCACGUGAAAUUGUUGAAAGGGAAGCGCUUGCAGCCAGACUUGCUUGCAGUUGCUCAUCCGGACUUUUGUCCGGUGCACUCUUCUGCAGGCAGGCCAGCAUCAGUUUGGGCGGUGGGAUAAAGGUCUCUGUCACGUACCUCUCUUCGGGGAGGCCUUAUAGGGGAGACGACAUACCACCAGCCUGGACUGAGGUCCGCGCAUUUGCUAGGAUGCUGGCGUAAUGGCUGUAAGCGGCCCGUCUUGAAACACGGACCAAGGAGUCUAACAUCUAUGCGAGUGUUUGGGUGUCAAGCCCGAACGCGUAAUGAAAGUGAACGGAGGUGGGAACCCGCAAGGGUGCACCAUCGACCGAUCCUGAUGUCUUCGGAAGGAUUUGAGUAAGAGCAUGGCUGUUGGGACCCGAAAGAUGGUGAACUAUGCUUGAAUAGGGUGAAGCCAGAGGAAACUCUGGUGGAGGCUCGCAGCGGUUCUGACGUGCAAAUCGAUCGUCAAAUUUGGGCAUAGGGGCGAAAGACUAAUCGAACUAUCUAGUAGCUGGUCUGC